GCAGCAUCCAAGCAACCUGCUGCGCCAAUUUCUUUUCGCCCUCCGAAACACCCAAAACAGCCGUCUCACCAGUACAACACUCGCGCUAAGAGAACAAUGGAGAAUAUCAAGCAAGAGAUUUCUGAACUCCGCAGAGAGGUGACUAUUUUGAAAGCUAGUGUGGAGCGCUUAACUGGUUUGGUCGAAAUUUUGGUUUCCGCCCAAGUCAAUCCUUCUAGGAUGGAGGAAGCGAUGAUAAAAGUCUUCACUGAAACUCUAAAAUCAUUCUCUCAUGAGAAGGUGAUGGUUAAUGCACCUAAUGACUUUCCUGACAAGGCGAAUGUGGGAGUGCGUCUAGAAGAAGAUGUUGGGAAGGGAUGUUCAUAUGAAGAUGGUAGCUCAGCUAAUGGUGUGAAGAAGUUUGAUAAUAACUUUUCCAAGAAGAGAACCAUAGGAAGAAAUAUUCAUCGUCAAAAUCAUCAUGUUCCUCCUAUUCAUCAACAGAAUCAGCAAGUUCCUAAUCAGAGGAAAACCCAGUUUGAUCCAAUUCCAAUACCUAUACAGAGUUGUUCCCUAUCCUGGUGCAGAGGAAUUUGGUUCAGACCCGACCUCCACCGA